GGCUUUGACAAGGCCGGAUGGCAUCGUGCGGACUGUUAAUCCGUAUGUCACUGGUUCGAGUCCAGUCAGAGGAGCCA
rnacentral:tRNA from 1 species